GGACUACUAGGGUUUCUAAUCCUGUUUGCUCCCCACGCUUUCGCGCCUCAGCGUCAGAACCGGACCAGACAGCCGCCUUCGCCACUGGUGUUCUUGCGAAUAUCUACGAAUUUCACCUCUACACUCGCAGUUCCGCUGUCCUCUUCCGGUCUCAAGCCCGUCAGUAUCGAAGGCCAUUCUGUGGUUGAGCCACAGGCUUUCACCUCCGACUUGACAAGCCGCCUACGCGCCCUUUACGCCCAGUGAUUCCGAGCAACGCUAGCCCCCUUCGUAUUACCGCGGCGGCUGGCAC
rnacentral:rRNA from 1 species